UACAUGAUGGCUUUGCAUCUUCCAUGUUGUUUGGAACAGUGGUUGGAUCUUUAGCUGACAAAAGGGGUCGAAAGAGGGCUUGUGUCACUUACUGCAUGACUUACAUAUAGAGCUGCAUUACUGAACAUUCUCCUCAGUACAAGGUUUUAAUACUAGGACGCGUGUUGGGUGGCAUUGCAACUUCCCUUCUUUUCUCAACUUUCGAAUCUUGGCUUGUUGCAGAACACAACAAGAGGGGCUUUGAUCAACAGUGGCUUUCUAUAACAUUCACAAAGGCAAUAUUUCUUGGAAAUGGGUUGAUGGCAAUUUUAUCUGGGUUGUUUUGUAAUGUACUGGUGGAUAGUUUGCAGCUAGGCCCGGUUGCUCCAUUUGAUGCUGCAUAUUGCUUACUUGCAAUUGGCAUGAUAAUUAUAUUGUCGACAUGGACCGAAAAUUAUGGUGACCCUUCGGAAAGCAAGGACUUGGUUACUCAGUUCAAGGGCGCCGCUGCUGCCAUUGCUUCUGAUGAGAAAAUUACUUUGUUGGGUGCCAUACAAUCCCUGUUUGAAGGUUCGAUGUACACCUUUGUGUUCCUAUGGACCCUGCUUUGAGCCCGAACGAUGAGGACAUUCUGCACGGUUUUAUAUUCGCGACAUUCAUGUUGUCUUCGAUCCUCGGAAGUUUGGUUGCCAUACGACUGCUGGCUCACCAGAGUCAAAGGCCCGAGAGCUAUAUGCAGACUGUAUUCAUGAUCUCUUCAGUAUCCCUACUGCUUCCUGUUGUCACAAAUUUGUCGGUAGCACCGUCGAACGAGAAAGGUGGGAGCAUCUCGUAUUCCGGGUGUAUCCAACUCAUCGGUUUUUGCAUAUUCGAAGCCUGCGUGGGGAUAUUCUGGCCAUCUAUCAUGAAAAUGAGGUCUCAAUACAUUCCAGAGAAAGCUAGAAGCACUAUCAUGAACUUCUUUCGCAACCCCCUCAACAUCUUCGUCUGCAUUGCAUUAUACA